AGGCGUUAUGCGAGGGAGUGACGAGGCAACCGCACAGGUGAGAGAGGGGGAGGUUCAAAACACACACACACACACGUACACACACCGUAAGUCUUGUUCCUUAGACACGCCUGUACAGAAAAUAUAGUAAACAUAAUAAUAAUCUUAGGAUGUGUUUCAUUAAGUCUCCACAAAAUAAAGGAAAACAAGACAGAUUUAACGCUAACUGAAGGAAAGUUUUAUAAAUACUGCUUGUGAAUAUUGAGAAGAGAAAAUUUAAGUAAAAGAAUACACUCUUAGGAUGUGUUUAAUUAAGCCUCCACAAAAUAAGAGAAAACGAGACAGAUUUACCGAUAACCGAAGGGAAGUUUUAUAAAUACUGCUUGUGAAUAUUGAGAAGAGAAAAUGUAAGUAAACUAAUACAGUCUUAGGAUGUGUUUAAUUACAGCUCCACAAAAUAAAGGAAAACAAGACAGAUUUAACGCUAACCGAAGGAAAGUUUUAUAAAUACUGCUUGUGAAUGUUCAGAAGAGAAAAUUUAAGUAUAAGUAAACUAAUACAGUCUUAGGAUGUGUUUAAUUGCAGCUCCACAAAAUAAAGGAAAACAAGACAGAUUUAACGAUAACCGAAGGAAAGUUUUAUAAAUACUGCUUGUGAAUAUUCAAGAGAGAAAAUGUAAGUAUAAGUAAACUAAUACAGUCUUAGGAUGUGUUUAAUUACAGCUCCACAAAAUAAAGGAAAACAAGACAGAUUUAACGAUAACCGAAGGGAAGUUUUAUAAAUACUGCUUGUGAAUAUUCAAGAGAGAAAAUAUAGGUAAACUAAUACAGUCUUAGGAUGUGUUUAAUUACAGCUCCACAAAAGAAGGGAAAACAAGACAGAUUUAACGAUAACCGAUGGAAAUCAAAAGAAAAAACACAAUCACCAACACUGUCGUAACGGAAAGUCUGAUACACAGAAGAAUACAGCCGAGGAUGUGUCUGAUUUCGCCACAAGAUAAAAGAAAACGCAACAAGAUUUAACUAUAACCGAUGUAAUUUCUAAAAAAAAAAAGCAAUUACCAACACUGUCGUAACGGAAAAAGUUUAUGAAAAGAAGAAUACAUGUGUUCGAUUUCGCCACAAGACAUGAGACGAGACCAGACAAGCCUUACCGAUCAACCCGUCUAAAAUUACUGACAUACUUGUGUGCCGUCGAGAUAGAAAAACAAAUGAAAUCUUAUGUUCCGACACUCCUAAUCCUGUAUUCAAGGCCUUUACCAAUGUGUCCAAUUUCACCACAAGACAUGAGAUGAGACCAGACAAGCCUUACUGAUUAACCAGUCUACAAUUACAGGUAACUCUCGAUUUACGCAAGUUUGGUUUAACGCGUGGUCCAAAAUCCAAAUAAAUGUUUAAUUGACAUGUUUUUUUCACUUAUACGCGAUAUUUUAAGGAGUGGCCACCAGAUGUCUCACGCAACUGGACUCACACGGCCACACAGCUGAGCUCAGUUCUUCCCGCGCGCCACUUGAACAACAAUACAGUAACCACGCUGCCCCGCAACUCAACAACAACAACAACACCCUCGCUGCUGUGCUACCACGAGGGGAAGGGCAGCCAGAGGAGGAACCACAAGAGGGAGAGGAGUCAGAGUGAUACAGUAGGCAAUAAAGGUACAAACCGACCUCUUGUUGGAUUUACAGUGUUUUUGAGUUACGCGACCUCCUCCAGGACACAACACUCGCGUAAAUCGAGUUACCUGUACUGACAAAUACUAGUGUGUUGUCGAGAUAGAAAAACAAAUGAAAUCCUAUAUUCCGAGACUCUUAAUUCUCUAUCCAAGGCCUUUA